UUUAAAGCUACAAAGGGCUUACGGUGAAUGCCUUGGCACCAAGAGGCGAUGAAGGACGUGGUAAGCUGCGAUAAGCUUCGGAGAGUGGCACACACACUUUGAUCCGGAGAUUUCCGAAUGGGGAAACCCACCCGCAAGGGUAUUUUUAAAUGAAUUCAUAGUUUAAAAAAGCGAACGAUGGGAAGUGAAACAUCUCAGUACCAUCAGGAACAGAAAUCAAAGCAGAGAUUUCCCUAGUAGUGGCGAGCGAACGGGAAAUAGCCCAAACCUUUUUCAAGCAAUUGGAGAAGGGGUUGUGGGGCCUCAAUAUGAGACUUAAUGUUUUAGAAGAAUUGCCUGGAAAGGCAAGCCAAAGAAGGUGAUAGCCCUGUAUUCGAAAAGACAAAGAGCUCUAGAGGAACCCCGAGUACCACAAGACACGUGAAAUCUUGUGGGAAUCCAGGAGGACCACCUCCUAAGGCUAAAUACUACUUGGUGACCGAUAGUGAACAAGUACCGUGAGGGAAAGGUAAAAAGAACCCCGAGAGGGGAGUGAAAUAGAAUCUGAAACCGUAAGUCUACAAGCAGUAGGAGCUCUUUAUAUGAGCGACUGCGUACCUUUUGCAUAAUGAGUCAGCGAGUUAUUUUAGCAGGCAAGGUUAAGCCGUUUAAGGUGGAGUCGUAGCGAAAGCGAGUCUGAAUAGGGCGUUUAGUCUGUUGGAAUAGACCCGAAACCCGGUGAUCUAUUCAUGGCCAGGCUGAAGCGAGGGUAACACCUCGUGGAGGGCCGAACUAGUUGAGGUUGAAAACUCUUUGGAUGAGCUGUGAAUAGGGGUGAAAGGCCAAUCAAACCGGGUGAUAGCUGGUUCUCCCCGAAAUAUAUUUAGGUAUAGCCUUGGAUAAAUUCUAUUACGGAGGUAGAGCACUGAAUGGGCUAGGGGUCUUUACCGGAUUACCAAACCCAAAUAAACUCCGAAUGCCGUUAAUAGUUACUCCAGGAGACAGACCUAGGGUGAUAAGGUCCUAGGUCGAGAGGGAAAGAGCCCAGAACAUCAGCUAAGGUCCCUAAAUCUACACUCAGUGGAGAACGUUGUGGGGUUACUUUGACAACUAGGAGGUUGGCUUAGAAGCAGCAAUCCUUUAAAGAAAGCGUAAUAGCUCACUAGUCUAGUGACCCUGCGCGGAAGAUACAACGGGGCUAAGUGUAGUACCGAAGCUAUGUCUUGUCGUAAGACAGGGGUAGGGGAGCGUUCCGCGAUAGGAUGAAGGUUGACCGUUAGGACAGCUGGACGAUGCGGAAGUGAUCAUGCUGACAUAAGUAGCGUUGAACUCGGGUGAAAAACCCGGGCGCCGAAAACUCAAGGAUUCCUGGGCAAGGAUAAUCCUCCCAGGGUUAGUCGAGACCUAAGAUGAGGCCAAUUGGCGUAGUCGAUGGAAGAACGGUUAAUAUUCCGUUACCAAUUUCGGAUUGCCUUCGGAAUGACGGAUUAGGCUAUCUCAGCCUGUAAUUGGAUUCAGGUGUAAGCAUGUAGGUGGUGUCGUAGGUAAAUCCGCGGCACUUAACACUGAGGUGUGAAUGCGAGGGUCGUUUGACCCGGAAGUGAGAAAAGCCAUGAUUCCAAGAAAAGUUUCGUUGGUCCAAGAAAUUGCUCGUACCGUAAACCGACUCAGGUGAGUGGGGUGAAUAUCCUAAGGCGAUGGGGUGAAUCUUGGUUAAGGAACUCGGCAACUUAACACCGUAACUUCGGGAAAAGGUGUGCCUGAGAGCGUGUAAGGACUUGCUCCCCAAGCGCUUUCAGGUCGCAGAGAAAUGGGAGUAGCGACUGUUUAUCAAAAACACAGGCAUGUGCAAAGUCUCAAGACGACGUAUACAUGCUGACGCCUGCCCGGUGCUGGAAGGUUAAGAGGAUUUGUCAGCGCAAGCGAAGCAGAGAAUCGAAGCCCCAGUAAACGGCGGCCGUAACUAUAACGGUCCUAAGGUAGCGAAAUUCCUUGUCGGGUAAGUUCCGACCUGCA
rnacentral:rRNA from 1 species